UCUCUCCCAGCGUCCUUGCUGCUAGGGACACAGUUCCAGGAUGGAGCCUCCAGCAAAGAGACCAGAGACUGAUUCAGAAAGACCACAGUCAGUGGUGGAGCCCUUCUUAGAAUAUGGCAGCUACUUGAGCUGGUGAGUUUAAUCAAGAAUUGGUGAGAAUCAACAAGACCAAAACACAAAUUUCAAUUCAUGUUACAUCACUUAGUUAAUGCAUGUUUUACCAAGUUAUUUAUUAUGUCUGAAGGCAAGGGGUAGUUGUUAGGAAAACAAAGCAAAAGUAUUUGGCGGGGGUGCCUAGUCUAAUCAAGAUUGCCCAAUGACCCCGUUUUUCUGGCUUCUCUGCAAUGUUUGGCAGUUAGGAGAAUCCAAAAUUGGUAAUGAGUUUGAGUUCAGAGGCAAAUAUCCACCUAGUCUAUUAAUUCAGCUAAGCUCUGCUUUUCCAGUACUAGAAUAAAGUAGAUACUUUGAUUCACACAGAGUUGAAGCUUAUCAGAAAGGCAAAACAGAGCUCAGAACAAAAAGAUUCUCACUUGGGGAAAAAGACUAGUUACCAAGGAAAUAAAGACAGCAGCUGGAAUAUUGAGACAAAGUAAAGGGGUCAACAGACUAAGUCCACGUGAAGACACAGAACAAUCUUAAUAGAACCGAGGUGGGAGGAGUUGAACUAGCAAGCUGGAGAGGAAGACGAGUCAGCGAGUGAGAACUGAGUUCGGUAUUUGGGAGAACAAAGGGCAAGGCGUUAACCACCCACUCAUAUGGAAGUAGAAGCAACUAACAGUAAGGUGAGUCAGGGGGGAGGGGGGCACUUCCACAACCAUCCCCUCACCUGUCCAUGCUAUAGAACUAGUAUCUGGCUUUUGAACCAGAUCUUGGGUUCAAAUCCCAGGACCUCUCAGAAGGGAGACUGCGCCAUUGACCUCUGAGUGUUACCUGUAAAAGCUGAUAACUACCUGGGACUGAGUAGUUGACAUUCGUCUGGCAGUAGGCCACUACUUAAAUGCUUUCUCAGGUAAGUCAGUGCAAGUAGAAACUGACGGUUUAACACCUCAGAGUAAGAUUUCUACAUCAGUUCUAGUUUGCCAGGUGACAG
rnacentral:lncRNA from 1 species